rnacentral:rRNA from 1 species
CGAAAGCCUGACGGAGCAACGCCGCGUGUGGGAAGAAGGCCUUUGGGCUGUCAACCACUUUUCUCAGGGAAGAAGUUCUGACGGUACCUGAGGAAUCAGCCUCGGCUAACUCCGUGCCAGCAGCCGCGGUAAGACGGAGGAUGCAAGCGUUAUCCGGAAUUAUUGGGCGUAAAGCGUCCGCAGGUGGUUUUUCAAGUCUGCUGUCAAAGGUCGGAGCUCAACUCCGGUUCGGCAGUGGAAACUGGUGGGCUAGAGGGCGACAGGGGUAGAGGGAAUUCCCAGUGUAGCGGUGAAAUGCGUAGAGAUUGGGAAGAACAUCGGUGGCGAAAGCGCUCUACUGGGUCGCACCUGACCCUCAGGGACGAAAGCUAAGGUAGCG